UUUUCCCCCCUUAAGUAUGGUUUAGAGUUCAUUGAAAUUUCUCCCCCAUAGAUAGUAGGUAAGGUUUCAUUGAAUGUUCUCCCCCUUUUAUAUGGAUAAGAGUUCCUACAAAGAUCUCCCCCUAUGUUUGGGAUCCUCGAUGUUUCUCCCUCCUAUAUUGUGGGAUCACUGAGGAUUUCUCCCCCUAGAGAAGUUUUCUCCCCCUCGACAAUUUUGCGUCACAAGAUAAUGUUC
rnacentral:lncRNA from 1 species